ACCCCAGUGCCUCUGGGUCCAGUCUCCCUGCCCCCGUCCCGCGGGUUGCGACAGCGCCUCCCUGGGAGGGACUUUGGGGCAGAGGUGGGGGGGCCUUGGCACGGCGACAGCUCCUGCGAGCGGUCCCCGGGCCAUGCCAGGGGGAUGUCCCUCUGAAUACCGAGGCUGACAAUCCUGGAGUAGAGUCUAUUUCCAAGGGGGAACUGGGAUACACAGGCGCUCCCACCCCCGAACAACUCCGUGGGGCCGAUGAGUCACUGAGUAGGGGACAUUGGGAGAGGGAUUUAACAAUCCUUCCUAGGAAAAAAGGAAUCUUUGAGAAGGUCACGUUCCUCUCCGGAGGGCGGUUUCCUCAUCUGUAGAAUGGGAAGGGCUUCCGUGCUCAAUCCGGAAGCUGACCUCUUCCUCGUCAGGUUCCAGGGGCCACUGGCAGGCGCCACGCUCUGGGAACCGGGGUGUACUGCGCGGGUGUGUACCCGUGAGGCGAGGGUGGGGGCCGCAGCAUCGUCCAGGGGGCCUCCUAUGUCCUCUUAAACUGCUGCCCUUUUAGGCUCUGUGGCCCCCUGACCUUGCCACAUCACUUCGGCACCUCUCUGGGCCUCUACUUUCACAUCUGUAAGAUAGAGACAAUCAUAGAAGAAUCUUCCUCCCAGGGUUCUCUGAGGAUUGAAUGGAAAAGGUAUGCAAAGUGUAUCGCCUGGCACACUUAGUGGGGCACCCAACAUGUGUGAAUUCCCUCUGCUUCAGCCUGAUCAGGGUGGGGGGAAGGACAGGCGAAGCCCCAGGAGGAGCCCCACGUGAGUGUCCUUGUCCCCCUCCUAAGGCUGAAACUCUACAUUCCCAAUCUGUAAAAUGGGCUUGUCAGUGCUCUCCUUCCCCUGCUUGCCUCAGCUCUCCUUCUCCCCGUAUCCCCUCAGAUGUGGGGAUGCCUCCAUCUCUCAAUCCCGCUCUUGCCCUGUCUUCCUUAACACAAUCCCAGAAGCCAACUCAGCACCCCUUGUUGGGACUCAGAAGGAAUUCUCCUGGGCAGAUCUUUCCCUGGCCCUUCUCUUCCCUGCCUUCGCACACAGGCCUGUCCAGUUUCACCCUGGUCACCCCUUUUCUGACCCUUGUUCUCAAGAGAAGGUGUUUCCUUCCUUGGCUGCUCAGCGCAGGCGUGGGUGGGAGCCAGUAAGGGUGCAGAAGCGACAAACCACUUCCUAUCUCUCUGGGCAGGCAGGAGGUCACUAGAAGGGAAGUCUCCUUGGCUAUAGGCUAUCAGAACCAAGAUCUGGCUGGGCAUGGGAUAAGCGUGGGAGUGGGGAAGACUCCCCCUUCCCAGGCAGUGAGACUGGGGACUCCUACCCCUCCACUGGGCAAGUUCUUUACGCCCCGUCUUUGUCUGCCCUCUUCCCUUCCACUCAUCCACACACAUCCUCCCUCUCCUGUCCCCCGACCUUCCUCUCUGGGCAAAAGACUUUACAGAGCUUUACACCUUGUUACAGUGUGCCUUGGGUUAUAUUUAGUUAUGAAGAGUCUGUCUUCCCUGCUAGUCUGAGAGGUCCCCAAGGGCAGGGACUAACUCAGUCCCCUCCAAUCCCCCUCUGUACCUUUUAUACACUGUAUGAUCUCAAAAAACUCCUUGAUGUCUCUGGGACUUCAUUUCCUAAGAAACGUGGACAAGGUGAUAUCUAAGCUCUCUUCCAGCCCUGGUGGGCCAGGCUUCUACGGCCUAGGCAGCUGGGAACCUUCCUCUACCCCUUCCAUGACCCUUCAUCAGCACCCUUCAUCAGCACCCACCACCCCUGUGUUUUGACCUUGUCUACCCACCGGCUUCCUCCAACUCUCCCUCCUGUCUCAUUCCUUUUCUAGGGCUUGUGAGGUCAUAGGCACCAGAUCGCUCUGGGCUUGAGGAGACCUGGGGACUUUUCUUUAGGGCCCUCUGGGAGGUGAGCUCCCCAGGCAGACCCCCUUUCUGAGAUGGAGAGCCCAGAACUAGCCUGAGCUUCCAUCCGGGACUUUCCAGACCCACAGUUGGCCAGGUAGUCCAUUGGCUAGAGCUCUAGUUUUGGGCCAGGACCCUUGGGUUCUGGCUUCAGCAUCGGAGCUGAGGCACCACCCCUUGUAGCCCCUGGCUUUUCUAUUGCAAUUGCCUUCCCAAGGCUACAGCACUGGGUUGGGGACUCUGAGGUUGUGGUGGGGGCCCUUGGCGACCCUCACCUUCCCCCAUCUCUUUUGAGGCAUUGGGGCUUCACCCCUCUGGGCCACUCAGGAAGUGUGUCCCCUUCCAGAGACUCCUUGAAUAAUAACCACAAUAUUUCUAGGAUGUUAUUGUUUUGGUUGUUCUCACUAGAGCAAGAAAUCUGAGGCCCUGAGACACCCUACAGCCUGCCCAGGGCCACAGAGCUUAUCUCGGCACAGGCAGGAGGUGCCCCAUGUCUGCCUGCCGAGGAGGCUGUUUCUGCGCAGUCUCCUUGAGCGGGAUGCUCUUCCCGGAUCUGUCUUCAAGGCUGCUUGGUGCACUCUCCUACCUACACCCUGUCUCCCUUUCUGCUAGCGGCAAACUUCUUCAAGAGUUCAUUCAAGCCCCCCACCCCCUCAAAGCCUUCCUUGGACCUCCCCAACCUAGUCCUGGGCUAGGAGGCUUCCUCCGCUUGUAAUCACUGUCUUGCUUACCUUGCCCAGAGGACUGUGGAUACCUUGAGGAUAGGGACUGAGGUUUGUUUAUAACUGUAUCCUCAGCACCCAGGACAGUGCCUGGAGAAGCUGGUCCUCAGGAAGUGUUGUUGACCGAUUAAGCAAACACCUCAUUUCCUAAGAAGGAGUCAUAGGCAACAAGGCCACUGCGACAUUAGGUACAGUCCCAGCAGUAGGUGCUGCCCACUUUGCUUUUGAGUGUUCAGAACCAAGAUGGUUCUUGCUGGAAGGGCUCCCGAGAGAAGCAAUAACGGCCUUGUGGGUUGGGCUGCAGCAGAGAAAUGGACUAAACCUCUCCCAGCCUUUAUGGCCCAAACCCCAUCCUCCCUCCCCAACUGACUGCUGCUCCAGGCAGGAUGGAUGGAGCAUGUGCGGUGCCUCCCCCGCAGUGAGUGUCCCAGGGGAACCCGGCAUCAGGGAUUUCCUGGCAAGGAGAUGGAAAGAUAAAAUAAUUGCAAGGUACAGCUCAGAGCAGGCAUGACAGCAGAGAGAAGAAAGCAGAACAGUGGGGGACGGGGAGACCCAGGCACAGGAAAUGCUUCGAAGGGGGAAGAGGCAGGUUGGAACUGACAAGACAGAGGGGCAGGGUGUGGAAUAGCAAAGCUUCCCCUCCAAGCACCGCCUGAUUCCUUUUAGCCCCUUGCGGCUCCUUGGAGGCCUGGAGCACCCCCAAACCAGGCUGUAGCUCCCACACCCCAGCCUACCCCUUGUCCUCUCCCCUGAAGUGGGGUCUGCUUCCUCCAGACCCCAGUCUGGUGGUGACCCCACUGGUCCCACCCAUGGCCCUCAGUGAGGCUGCCCCUCUGCCACCAACCUGCACUUGAUCUGAUUUGGCAUGCAGGGGAGAGUGCUGGCUGCUGUGCCCGAUUCUGGAGUUUUCAAAGCAAGAAGAAUUAAUUAGUUCUGUGGGCCACAGUCAGCAGAUCCCACACCUGGAACCAAGGCUAAGACACGCAGUUUUAAAGUUCUUAGCAGAAUCCCCUCUUGGGGCUUAGGUGGAGCAGCUGCCUCCUUGACCUGCCUUGCUGUGCCCUGGAGUGGGACUCCAGGCCACAACUCAACUUGCUUUGAGAGUUCCUUUCCUUCCUGGCAACCACGGUCCUGGAUUAGCCCUGGGUCUCCUAGAUUCAGGCAGGAGUCAUUGAACACCGCGGGCUCAGCACUCAGAUGGCGGGGAUUCCUGUUUGGGCUUCUCCAUACACAAAGUCCUUCAAUGGACCCUGCAAGCCUGCUUCCUCCUUCUGAGGUUAUACAGAACACCUGUCCCUAGAAGGUGUCCAUCAGUGUUGGUGCCCUCUCCCUGGCUUGGUCCCUCUGCAGGAGGGGCACCAGGUGCACCAGGUGAGGGUGCCCUGUGCCGCCACCUGGUGUCUGACGCCCUCAUUGCACUGCUGUUGCCAGUCCCGCUCCACAGGCUGCUCAACUGGCCCAAGGAAAGAGAAAAUAGGCCAAGGGGCACCAGGCUGUGGCAGGUGGGGACUAGGGUGGAGACAGGAGUGAAAGCUGUUUGGAAAGUGGGCGCGGUUUAGGUAGGUAGGGCAGGGCUAGAGGAGAGGAAGAGAGAAGAGGGCGGGAUGGGGAAGAGAACAGGUACCAUGGGGUUCAAGGGCAGGGUUAUGACGUGGAAGGGUGGUGCCUGGGAACCCAGAGUGAUUGCAGAGCUACCCUUGGCCGGCUCUUGGACAAGCGUCUGGAGUUGAGGGAUGCCUUCUCCAGUGAUUGAACCCCUCUUGCCACCAUUCCCUAUGGCCAAAGGCUGGUGGCCCACCAGGUGGGAGGCUGGGGGCCUCUCUAAGCCUCUGAGUUUGCCAUGCGGGGAACACGUGUGCCUAUUUGUAUGAAUAUGAAUUGUGACUACUUUGGAAAAGCGCCCCCCAGCAAGUAAUUUUUGAGCAGGAUUCUUCCCAUUGUGCCCCAUUUCCUCUACACUGAGUAGAGACAGGAGUAGUGUGGGCUGGAGGUUGGCCAGACCUAGGGUCAAAUCCCAGCUCUGCCAUUCCCUGGCUGUGUGACCAUGGGCAAUUCACUUAACCUCUCUGACCCCCGCUGCCUCAUGGAGAAAUAGCAAUCAAACUUCCGUGCUAGGGUGUUUUGAGGAGUGAGAGACUGCAUAUGAGCCUCAGAUUUGUUUUUAUCCCCAGCUCAGCUCACUCCUCUUCCCAGUCCCCACCCCCACACAGACCUUUUCCUGGAGUCUUGGGGGUGGAGGAAGCAGAAGCAGCCAAGCUUGAGGUGGGGGCCUACAGCCGCUGACACAAUUUCUUCUGAACCCCAAAGGGGAAGGCUGAGGACAAAGGCGCCAGGGUAGAUGUUCCUACUUCUAAAAGCCUGAAGCCCCUAACCAGUUCCAUUCUGCCCCUGGAGUCCUCAUCCAAGGCCUGCUGCCCCUACCAGCCACUCCCCACCCCAGCCUCCUUCAGUUUCUCCACCCUCUACCCCCACCCGCUACGUAUCCCAGAGCAGCAUCAAAUAACCACCCAGACAAGCAGCAUGAGGUUAGCAGUCUUGAUAUUAUUAUUAAGAUCCAGCGGCAGCUGCUUUUCCACCUCAAAACCCUUUUAAUGAGACACAACAGUUUCCAUCAUUGAUAAAGAUUUUACAUCGUUGGGGGGAGAGGUCACAGUUCUCUCCCCGACUCCCCCAAAAUACCCACUUUGACUCUACUAUUAAUAUUUCCACAUCACUAUCCAGAGGACCCCCUCCAGGCACUGCCCUUUUCCAGAGAAACCCUCCAGGCCACAGAGAGGGCUGCUGGCGAGGAAGCAGCUCCUACAAGCGCUCCCUCUCCCCACCCAAGGAGGCCAGAGGAAAAAGUCUGACAUUAUUGCACACCCUAAAAGGAGAAAACCAAGCAUUGGCUUCAAGGACUGGUAUCAGUUCUCUCCAAAAGAGCAAUGAGGAAAGCUCUCACCCAGCUUAGAAAACACAAGGCUGGACAGCGCCUCCAGGUCCACUCGCCCGGCAGCCUGGUGCUCCCAGUUCCCAGCUGACCAGAAAAUGAUGACGAGGUUAAAGGAGAAAAUAAGUUACAUUACAGUUUCCAAAAUGGUUCUCGCUCUCCGCUGAAGAUGGGCCACCGUUGGGGCUGCAAUGCGCUCGCGGUCCCAGCUUGUGCUUUGCAAGAAGAGGGAUUAUAACUAGACUGUUAUUUUAGGUUAAAAUAGCCAAGAGACAGACGCCUUCGCCUCAAAAAUAUUCUGAGACACAUAAAAGUAGAAGGAAACAAGUCUCUUCAGUCACAAAAUGUCGUACAUCCCGCAUAUACUAGAUUCAAUUAAUUUAAUAAAAUAGAAUAUACAUAGAGA